GUUUAGCACUGUAAACGCUGCCUUUUUAGAGAAAAGGCAAUGUUUACAUUGUUGCCUAGUAACACCUCUAGGUGCAGUCACUCAGACAACCAUUAGAGAUGCUUCCUAGACCAGUGCUGCACAGUGUGUCUUCACAAUCUGCAUUGAGGUGCUGAAUGUUCACCAUAGAAGUGCAUUGAUUCAAUUCAUCUCUAUGAGGAUAUGCUGAUUGGCGCUGCAUGC